rnacentral:rRNA from 1 species
GUGUCAGCCGCCGCGGUAAUACAGAGGGUGCGAGCGUUAAUCGGAAUUACUGGGCGUAAAGGGCGCGUAGGCGGUCAUUUGAGUGUGAUGUGAAAGCCCUGGGCUUAACCUAGGAAGUGCAUCGCAAACUGGAUGACUGGAGUACUGUAGAGGGUAGCGGAAUUUCCGGUGUAGCGGUGAAAUGCGUAGAGAUCGGAAGGAACGUCAAUGGCGAAGGCAGCUACCUGGACAGAUACUGACGCUGAGGCGCGAGAGCGUGGGGAGCAAACAGGAUUAGAUACCCUGGUAGUCC